rnacentral:tRNA from 3 species
GGUCGCUUAGCUCAGUUGGUUAGAGCGUGGUGCUAAUAAUCCAUCGCUAGGAGCUCUGCUCCUACAAACGGACCUUCAGUUAACGCCAAGGUCGCGAGUUCGACCCUCGUAGUGACCA